rnacentral:rRNA from 1 species
CCUACGGGAGGCUGCAGUGGGGAAUAUUGCGCAAUGGGGGCAACCCUGACGCAGCAACGCCGCGUGAUUGAAGAAGGCCUUCGGGUUGUAAAGAUCUUUAAUCGGGGACGAAUUUUGUCGGUACCCGACGAAUAAGCUCCGCCUAACUACGCGCCAGCAGCCGCGGUAAUACGGAGGGAGCAAGCGUUAACCGGAUUUACUGUGUGUAAAGGGCAUGUAGGCGGGCAUGCAAGCCAGAAGUGAAAUCUGCGGGCUUAACCCCCAAACUGCAUUUGGAACUGGGUGUCUUGAGUGAUGUAGAGGCAGGUAGAAUUCCCAGUGUAGCGGUGAAAUGCGUAGAGAUUGGGAGGAACACCAGUGGCGAAGGCGGCCCGCUGGAC